UAACUACUGAAACUGGUGAUGAAAAUUUCACCUCCAGGAUUGAGCAAGAUGUUGUAAGUUUUGCAGAAUCUGUGCGAGCCACUAUUUUGAACAAUGAAUGCAUCACGCUUAGGA
rnacentral:ribozyme from 1 species